UACGUAGGUGACCAGCGUUGUCCGGAUUUACUGGGCGUAAAGAGCGCGCAGGCGGUCGUUUAAGUCGAGUGUGAAAGCCCCCGGCUCAACUGGGGAGGGUCACUCGAUACUGAUCGACUUGAAGGCAGGAGAGGGAAGCGGAAUUCCCGGUGUAGUGGUGAAAUGCGUAGAUAUCGGGAGGAACACCAGUGGCGAAGGCGGCUUCCUGGCCUGUUCUUGACGCUGAGGCGCGAAAGCUAGGGGAGCAAACGGG
rnacentral:rRNA from 1 species